GUCUUGGUAGUUCAGUGGUAGAAUUCUAGCCUUCCGUGCUGGAGACCUGAGUUCGAUUCUAGCCAAUGUA
rnacentral:tRNA from 1 species